AUAUCUCCUCAACCUUGCACAAGCACAUCCUGGGAUAUAAAUACAUCUCCAUCACUCUCUGUCUCAUUUGGGGUUCAGAUUCCUCUGCUUUCAGGACUACAAAAGGCACAAUGAUGUCCCCAUCCCAGUUCUUCUGCCUCCUGGUCCUCUGGGCUCAGGAGUCCAGCACAGCCAUUGUGAUGACCCAGACUCCAGCCUCCCUGUCUGUGACUCUGGGAGAGACAGUCACCAUCAGCUGCAGGGCCAGUCAGGGUAUUACCAAUGAUAUAGACUGGCACCAGAAGUCACCAGGAAAACCUCCCAAACUUCUCAUCUAUGAAGCUUCCUCCCGAUCAUCCGAGGUCCCCGCCCGCUUCAGUGGCAGCGGGUAUGGAACAGAUUUUACUCUCACAAUCAGCGGUGUAGAGGCUGAAGAUGUGGCAGAUUACUACUGUCUGCAGUAUAAUCAGUACCCUCUCCCACAGUGA